CAGAAAGUCCGGCAAGCUAUUUUGUUGUAAAAGAAAAUAGCAUUAACUACCAAACGAAAUCAUACUGCCUGUGGAUUUUAUCAUUCAAGAUGUUCUGAGUAAAGCUGUCCUUCGUAAAUAAAGAGCUGUCCUUCAUAAAUAAAGGAGUCCUGUUUAUUUGAAGUGUUUUAUUUUUGUUGUUGUUGUUGUUACAAAUAGACUCACUCUAAACCAGUGAGCAAAUAUAAGAGCAUAUAUGCCAGGCGGGAAAAUCGUGACUCAGCCCAUCCACACAGGCGCGUUUCCUGCGGGCUCCGUCCUGACCCUGCUUCCAGCGGCAUUUCCAGUAAGGUCCAGUCAUCAGUCUCUCAGAUCCACCUAACUCACGCUUCAAUAGCCCUGUUCAAAACUCUCCUUCUUCACUGUUUUACAUAUUCAGCCAGCUGCUCUGGGGCUGACCUCCUGCACAUCCUCUGAGGCAGGUGCCUGGGCUUUUCACCUGGACAACAGGGCGAGACUGGGGAGUCGCUUGCACCCAUUUUCAUAAAAUUAUGACCAAGAAAACAGCGGCUGCAAUCUGAUUGUUGCUGAUGUCUUAGAGAUCAUCCUCAGACUUACUGGACUAAACAGCCAUUCUCAACACCCGAUGAUACCCUCCAAGGGCCCAUUCCUCCUCCUUAAGAAAUGCCUGAAGUCAGAAGCAGAAGUAUUAGAACACAGACAUGCACGGAGAGAUGACCCUGUGAGGACACAGAGGGGAAGAGGCCCAGCUGCAGGCCACAGAGAGAAGCCUCAGGAGGAACCACCCUGACCACACCGUCAUCUCCCACUUCCAGCCUCCAGGACUGUGAAAGAAUAAGUGUCUGUUUUCUAAGUCGCUGGUCUGUGCUAUUUUGUGCUGGAAGCCCCAGCAAACAAACAGUACUGCUUCUCCUCUUACUUCAGAAAGUUGUAAAUAAAAUAUUGUUAUCUCAGAACUGUAAUCUAGGCAUGUAGGACAUUCCAUGAGAAAACAAACAAACAAACAAAACCUAAUUAGAAGCAUGGAAAAUGCAAAAAUAGAGCUCAGGUCAACAAUUAAUAAAUAUUUAGUUGGGUAAUAAAAUAUCGCUGUUGCCUCAAACUGGUAGCAAUUUAGUGGAAAACCAGAGUCAACCCCCGGAGCACAGACCUAGGGGGUUCCAAUACAGUCUUUUCUGCAAAACACCAGUGUCACUUCCACCUGGUAUCGUGUCACCUGUCUCUGUCUUUCUACGCCCUUUCCUCCCUCUGUGUGCUUCUCCAGGUGCUCACAUCUCCCUCUUUCGUGAGGGGUUAAGUGAUGUUGAGAGCUGCCCAACGCAGAGGCAGAAAAAUGUAUGUUUGAAAACUUACUCUAAGGAUUCCUCCAACCACCAGCCUCAGACCUACUUCACAACUACCGAUUAUAUUUCCAGGUCAAUUGGCUAACUGAAGUGUAUCUCUGUCUGCCAGCUUAAAUAUUAUUAUUUAUUCUUGAAACAACAACAACAAAAAAAGGAAACCAUAUGUCUAAAUGCUUCAGAAAUGGUCCCUUUUUCAAUCAGCGCAUCUUGAACAACAUAUGUGUGUAUCAUCUUUAUUAAGUGAGAACUAGGGAGCCACAUUUUUUAUGGUGCCUUCACAGAUUGGUGUUUUCCAAAUAGGAACAAUUUACAUCAUCACGAUACAUCUCUUUUGGUGUAGGAAAUAUUUCUGCUCAGAAAAUACAGGGUUAGCACUUGGCUUGCUUUAGUCCGGAUAUCCCAUAAAUGUGUUCUGAAGAAACAUGUAGAUGGGAGAAAAUGAAUAACUAUUAUUCAAAUGUCUGGAAUAAAACAAAUUCACAAACACACGUAUAUACAAAC
rnacentral:lncRNA from 10 species